GCGGGCGGCUGGGCUCCCGGUGAGCCGCGCGCGUGCGGCUUCGGCCCCGACACGCAGACGUGGCGCUUAAGUAGAGGACGGAGCGAGACGGGAGGGCCGCUGGGAGAAUAGCAGCACCCUAACGCAGAAACGGACGGCGGGUCCACGUGCUAGGCAACGCGAACGCUUUGCGUGCGGGUGAAAAGACUCCGCUCCACCGUAAAACAGGUUAGUCUUCUCUGCGCCGGAAGUGCCCUGUGGACGCGUUCGGGUAAGUGUCUCGGGGUGGCGACUGGCAAGGAUUCAGUGUGUUUCCAGAGAAGAAACAAAUAUUCAGGACGCCCAAGACUGAUGAGUGUGGCCCCAGUGCAAGUGUGCCUUCAGCGAGCCUAGAGGAGACGCUGAUCGACUGGACGAUUGUAAGCCGGUUGACACAACCUCUGAAGGAGCCUGGUGAAUUUUGCAGCAUCUCCCCCAGAGGAUGGAGAGCUCUGGACUAGCGUGGCGUAGAUGACCCAUAACCAUUGGUGAAAACACCUGUUUAUGAUACAGUUCGUUGAACAGGGGACAGAAAACGGGCAGAAGAGGUCAUCGCACCACUGACCGGGGUUAAGCCAGACCUGGACCUCGGUGCCUGCUUGGAUCCAGCUUGGCCACUCCUGGGCGUGGGGUUCGUUAAGAAACGUGCGCCUGUGAAGAUUACGCGACGGGUUCACAAAUCACACCAAGAGAUCGGUUCCACGUGGGAGGUUUAUUAGGGGAAGGGAAAAGGGGUCGAAGAGAGAGGAGGGGCUCCAGGAGUUCUCUUAUAAGGUGGGCAUGCGCAGGUAGUUCCAGGUGUUCAGCAGGUGGUCUGGUGGUUUCUCAAAUGCCUGAUAACUAGUUUGUCAGGUCCCUUGGGGCUGGCCGUAGAGAUGCCUGUUCACUAAUCCCAACAGGGUUAACUUAAUGCGGCAGAGAGGAAGGAACCGCAGGUUCCCGGUUGUCACAAUGGUAACAACACAGAGGGCGGGAAACCAGGAUAGUGGGGAGGCCUGAGUCUUUUCUCUUUUUCAAUACUUCGGUUGUUUACUUCUGCUGUGCCCAAAGGCAGGUAAUCGUGGCCUUAAUUUCUGUAAACUAAAAUGCUGCCGACACCCUCGAUUAUUUGUUGAAUAUUGAGAUGCGUUCCUUACCGAGUUCAGUCUCCUGUUCCUCCCCCAACCUAGAGUGCAUGCUUGCUGUUAUUAUUUACAUUAGUUAAGAGGAUUGGUCACUUUAUUAACCAUCAUAAUUUUCCUGACCUAAUUAUAUGGAAUUUUGUUUAUCCAUAAUGCCUUACAACCACAGCUUGUGUGAGAAGAUAGGUUUAAACAGGCCAAGAGUCGUGUGCGAUGGAUAAUUAACUUUGCAUACUUAUUAUAAGCACAAUAAAUACUUAUUUUGCUCUAGGGUAAUAUCAAUACUUAAUAAUUUCUCUAGCUGGUACCUAAUUCCUAAGACGCACAAGUUAGCUAGAACUGUAACUGAGGCAGUAGCUGUGUUUCCUGUUCUCGUGUGGGAAUGCUUACAGUGACGCUAAUUCAUACCUGCCUAAGGCACAGAUGCACGGGGACUCACCUCAACAACUGAGCUGAGAAAACUCUGGAAGAGGCUUUCCGUACCCAUGAAAACACCCUGCUUGCCGGAAAUUCUUCAGCUAGAACCUUGGUUUAUUCUGUUAGCUCAAGGCAAAUAAUAGAUUUAGUCCUUUAGGAAAAUUGAAAUGGGGCUGCUGGUGUGUUGGUGGCUAAGGGCACUUCCUGCCCUCCCAGGGUGUCAAGGUCAGUUCCUCACAACUGAAACUCCAGUUCCAGAGGACCCAGCACCCUCCUCUCCCUUUCAGGGACAGGUGUACAUGUAUGAUCCUGGAAGAAGCACAUUCACAUACAAACACAGAGAGCCUGGAAAACUGAAGCCCAAGUAGGAUGGAGCUGAGGAGAAAGGGAGCAGCUAGAUGGUGCUUGUUCUCAGGGUUUGUGGCUUCUGCAACGUCGGAAGAAGAGCCAGGAGCAGAGCUCAGAGAACUGCAAAGCAGCUGACGGGUUAACUGAAUGCCACAGUGAGGAAAGCCAGGAAUCAAAGCAAUGUGUUAAUUCCAAGAACUUCGGUGGUUUAAGAAUUAAUAACAAAGUGUUGGUUGCGUGUGAAAUGCCCUUCAUAGACUCUUGGGCCCCAGCUGGUGGUGCUGCUUGGGAAAGUUAUGGCACUUUGAGGAGGUAGAGGCUGGAGGAAGAGCAUACCGAGACCCUGGCUUUAUCAUGAUGCUCUGCCUCUGGUUCCCCCUGUCUGCGCCCUGUGUGGGGAGAGGCUGUGUCACGCAGUGUCCUGUCGGCUGGCCUCACGCUCCUGCUCCAGGCCCUCCAGACCGUGCCCUCCCUGGAACCAUAAGCAAAGUAAACCUUUUCCUCCCCCAGGUUGCUUUCAGUUAUGGUGUUUGUCACAGCAACUGCAGGCAACGGAAGAGCAGGUACCUGGCAAAUGGCACUGUCAGGGUCCAAAACGACAGGGCAGGUGAAGCUGGUUCAGAAUUCGGGAGAGCCCUCCCUGCUCUGUGUGACCAAAGAGUUUAAGUUAGCCUGGGUGACUCCAUUUUGAAAUGAGGAGCCAUCUUGACCGGGAGCUGAACUCGGGUACCAGGAAAUAUCACAGAAUGUGCACUUGGCAGAAAACAGAGUUAACUCUCUUAGCAACAGCCUCCAGGAAAUAUCACAAAAUACUUGAUAGAAAAUAAAGACAAUCUCCCUGGCAAUAAUCAAUGAGAAUCGGUUGGGAAAAUUCUCCCCAAUGUUCCAUAUAUAGUUUAGAAGAACGGCAAUUGUGAUUAUGUAGAAGGUCACCUCGCCCCUAUGGCUUUUACCCAAUGCUGUAACAGCAAGGCAUAAACCCCCUGCUUGCUGUCAUGGAAACCCCCACUUGCAGUUUUUCCCUUUAAAAGCCCUGCUCACUCAGGGCUCGGGGUCCCACUUCUCUACUGCUGCGUCAGUGAGAUUUGGGUCCCAAGUUCACUCGCUCUCGUAAUAAAGCUCUCUUGCUCUUGCA